AGCUGUGAUGAAAAUGGUUUUACUUCUUUCCUUGUCUGAUCCGACCAUGACGAUAAGGAGCUAACAGGAAUUUAUUCCUCACACCAUGGUUUUCAAAGUUUAGAUUGUUUUGUCAAUUUAGAUGGAUUGGACCUUUCUUGCCAUUGUUACAACAACAAUAGUCUCUGAGCU
rnacentral:snoRNA from 1 species